GCGGCAGCUAUAAUGCAGUCGAGCGGACAGAUGGGAGCUUGCUCCCUGAUGUUAGCGGCGGACGGGUGAGUAACACGUGGGUAACCUGCCUGUAAGACUGGGAUAACUCCGGGAAACCGGGGCUAAUACCGGAUGGUUGUUUGAACCGCAUGGUUCAAACAUAAAAGGUGGCUUCGGCUACCACUUACAGAUGGACCCGCGGCGCAUUAGCUAGUUGGUGAGGUAACGGCUCACCAAGGCAACGAUGCGUAGCCGACCUGAGAGGGUGAUCGGCCACACUGGGACUGAGACACGGCCCAGACUCCUACGGGAGGCAGCAGUAGGGAAUCUUCCGCAAUGGACGAAAGUCUGACGGAGCAACGCCGCGUGAGUGAUGAAGGUUUUCGGAUCGUAAAGCUCUGUUGUUAGGGAAGAACAAGUACCGUUCGAAUAGGGCGGUACCUUGACGGUACCUAACCAGAAAGCCACGGCUAACUACGUGCCAGCAGCCGCGGUAAUACGUAGGUGGCAAGCGUUGUCCGGAAUUAUUGGGCGUAAAGGGCUCGCAGGCGGUUUCUUAAGUCUGAUGUGAAAGCCCCCGGCUCAACCGGGGAGGGUCAUUGGAAACUGGGGAACUUGAGUGCAGAAGAGGAGAGUGGAAUUCCACGUGUAGCGGUGAAAUGCGUAGAGAUGUGGAGGAACACCAGUGGCGAAGGCGACUCUCUGGUCUGUAACUGACGCUGAGGAGCGAAAGCGUGGGGAGCGAACAGGAUUAGAUACCCUGGUAGUCCACGCCGUAAACGAUGAGUGCUAAGUGUUAGGGGGUUUCCGCCCCUUAGUGCUGCAGCUAACGCAUUAAGCACUCCGCCUGGGGAGUACGGUCGCAAGACUGAAACUCAAAGGAAUUGACGGGGGCCCGCACAAGCGGUGGAGCAUGUGGUUUAAUUCGAAGCAACGCGAAGAACCUUACCAGGUCUGACAUCCUCUGACAUCCUAGAGAUAGGACGUCCCCUUCGGGGCAGAGUGACAGGUGGUGCAUGGUGUCGUCAGCUCGUGUCGUGAGAUGUUGGGUUAAGUCCCGCAACGAGCGCAACCCUUGAUCUUAGUUGCCAGCAUUCAGUUGGGCACUCUAAGGUGACUGCCGGUGACAAACCGGAGGAAGGUGGGGAUGACGUCAAAUCAUCAUGCCCCUUAUGACCUGGGCUACACACGUGCUACAAUGGACAGAACAAAGGGCAGCGAAACCGCGAGGU
rnacentral:rRNA from 1 species